GGAGCCUGGGAGAGGUGGAACUCAGACCGCGGAGGAAGGAGUGCUGGAGCGUUGGUGGUGGUUUCCUCUAGCACCCCCUGUUGGCGGACUUUAACAAGGAGCCAGCUGGCAAAGAGAACUGAGCGGCAAGGAGGCCAGUCCCGGCAGCUACGGAAACGAGUACAGGUUUCUAGUUUGGGGCUCUUACACAUAAUGCUGUUACGAGCAUUCUUGUGUACUCGUAUUUUGGGUGUGUAUACCAAGGAGUGUACUUGCUGGAUUUAAUAGAUACAGAUAAUAACUGUU